GAAUAGUUUUCUUGGGAAGUUUAAGUAUUGGUAUUACAUCGAAAAUUGUAUUUUGAAUUGU
rnacentral:sRNA from 1 species